rnacentral:rRNA from 1 species
AGCGAACGCUGGCGGCGUGCUUAACACAUGCAAGUCGAACGUGAAAUGUAGCAAUACAGAGUAAAGUGGCGUACGGGUGAGUAACACGUGGGUAAUCUACCAAAGAGCCUGGAAUAACCGACCGAAAGGUUGGCUAAUACUGGAUAGUUCAAAUGAAAUAUAAUGUUUCGAUUGGGAAAGGGAGCGAGCAAUCGCCUUCACUUUUUGAUGAGCCCGCGUCUGAUUAGCUAGGUGGUAGGGUAAUGGCCUACCAAGGCGACGAUCAGUAGCUGGUCUGAGAGGAUGAUCAGCCACACUGGAACUGAAACACGGUCCAGACUCCUACGGGAGGCAGCAGUGGGGAAUCUUGCGCAAUGGACGAAAGUCUGACGCAGCCACGCCGCGUGAGUGAAGAAGGCCUUCGGGUUGUAAAGCUCUGUCGGAAGGGACAAAAACGUUUAAGGUUAAUAGCCUUAGAUCUUGACGGUACCUUCAAAGGAAGCACCGGCUAACCUCGUGCCAGCCGCCGCCGUAA